UUCCCCAGACUCCAGUCUUCUUUUUUGUAGACUCCAGCUGGUACGUCCUCUUUGAAGCUACCGCCAUGGCAGACUUUGAAGAAAGUGUUGAGUAUGAAGAGGAAGAGGUUGAGGAAAAGAAUGAGGAAGAGUCUAAAUCCAAACACAAAACGGUUUAUGUGCCUAACAUGGUCCCUCCAAAGCUUCCCGAUGGCGAGAAAGUGGAUUUUGAUGACCUCCACCGCAAGCGACUGGAGAAGGAUUACAAUGACCUGCAGAGUCUUAUUGAGCUACAUUUUUCCAGCCGUCAGAAGGAAGAGGAAGAGCUUAUUUCACUGCGCAACCGUAUCGAAAGCCGCCGCGCCGACAGAGCUGAACAGCAGCGUGUCCGCGCGGAGCAGGAGCGCGAGCGGCAAGCACGAGUGGCUGAGGAGAGGUCAAGGAGGGAGGAAGAGGCAGCCAAGCAGCGCGCCGAAGAGGAUGCCAAGAAAAAGAUGAUAUUCUCCAACAAAUCAUUCGGUGGAUACCUGCAGAAGGUCGACCAGAAGAAAGGCAAGAAGCUGACAGCUCGUGAGGAGAAGAAGAAGGCCUUGAUGGAGCGCAGGAAGCCGCUGAACAUCGACCACCUGAACCAGGACAAGCUGCUAGAGAAAGCUCAGGAACUCUGGCAGUGGCUCUACCAGCUGCAUUCUGAGAAGUUUGAUCUGGCUGAGAAGCUCAAGAAGCAAAAGUACGAAAUCCACGUGCUUCGGAACCGAGUCAGUGACCACCAGAGGUUCUCCAAAACUCUCAAGAGCUCUCGUGGAGCCAAGAGCAAGCCUGGUUCCAGGAAGUGAAGACAGCCACGCCUUUUUUUAUUCUUUUAUUUUUAUAAAAGAGAUCCCAGAAACUGUUUGUGUACUAAGGCACCGAUCUUGAUCAAAAAAGUCAAGAUACUAAGUUCCUAAUGAAUCAUAUCAGUUGUUUUAGUAUUGUUGUGCUGUGUUUAUCUUGUCUUAUCUUUAUCUUGCUCCUUCAUACCAUCAUACACUACCCUUUUUCUCACUUUUGAACUAUAUUUUCACUUUUUGGUAUUCCUGUCUUUUCCAUUAAAUUUCAUCCUGUGGUGAUCUUUU